AACACCAUUGUUGCUUCCUUAUAUACUUCACAUUUAGAACUUAGAAGGAUUCCCUUUGCUGUGCCAUUCAUACCUUUUGGGCUUUCUUCCUUUUAUCCUUCUUUCUGCAUGUAAAACUCCUAAUUGAUACACUCACUAGCUUAGUUACUGAUGCCCGGAGACGUGAGAACGACGAGGAAGAAGCCGAUGUCAGGUCCCCAUUCAUCUCUCCAGAAAACGAUGGAUAUGGUGGUGGUGAAACAAGGCAAGAAGAAGAUUGACAGAUGGAUGAUUUGCUGGCUCUUAUGCGUUUAGAUCUUGUCUUGUUGCUGCUAUCAACACAUUGCUGAGACUCCUCCUCCUCGUCUACUUUAACCACAUCAACUUUCACUAUGUGAUGAUCCGAAGUUCCCUUGGAAGAGAGAACCGAGUAGGAUCCUUGCACAAACUUGAACGACGAACGUGGUGAAGCCAGUAUAUAAUCCACUCUUGUUCCAUACUUACAUGUCCCCUGUACACCUGCAUUUUCAAAGCAUCACAUUAUAGUGGUGUAUUGAAAAUAUAAGAGAGAAAAUAUGGGUUUAUAAGAACAUGUGUUAGACUAGCUAAUUUAUUGAAUUCAGUCUUUUAGUGUGGUUUGGCUCGUAGAAAGUUGCCAUACUCUGUCCUUUGGCAAUCACGACGACAGACUCACAUUCGCCACCGAAAUCUUUGGCAUCAGCAUACUGUUUAGUCUUUAAGUACUUCAUCACCUCAACCUUGGGAGUUGGCUUUCCCAUCUCUUCAUAGUACUGGAAAUUGCAGAAUGAAAAUUUUCAUCAGAUCAUCAUUUAUUUACUGAA